ACUCCUACGGAAGGCAGCAGUGGGGAAUUUUGGACAAUGGGCGCAAGCCUGAUCCAGCCAUGCCGCGUGCGGGAAGAAGGCCUUCGGGUUGUAAACCGCUUUUGUCAGGGAAGAAAUCUUCUGGGUUAAUACCUCGGGAGGAUGACGGUACCUGAAGAAUAAGCACCGGCUAACUACGUGCCAGCAGCCGCGGUAAU
rnacentral:rRNA from 1 species